UCAUCUUCGACCUCCAUUGGUGACGUCGAAGCCAGUGUGCGAAGGAGAAGACUCUGUGACUGUGGGGUUCAAGCUCCAUUGGUGACGUCGUGGUCAGAUGACAACCCGGGAAGGCGAUUCUUUGGCUGUGGAAUGUAUAAGUGACGGGAAAAACUGCUGCAACUAUUUUGUUUGGUAUGAUGGUGAAGGUAACGCAAGGGACAUGAAGAUUAUUGCUGGGUUGCUUGGAAGAAUUGAAGACAUGAAGAGGAAGGAUAAAUCCUUUGUUAGGAUUGCUGUAACUGUUUGGGUCAUUAGUGUGGUGUUAGCCUUUGUUCUUGGCAUGCUAUAUAUGAAGUAUUAGUCUAGAAAGUGUGUUUACUUGUCAUGUAAUGCACCAUUUUGAUGAAAUGUAAUGCACAAUGGGUUAUGUAACUCAAAUUCAAUGAAAUGCACAAGGUUGUUCGUGGCA